CUUUUACAUUGAUUACAUUGAUUUGUUUUGUUUUUUUAAUUUAAAUCUUCCCCUCACCCCCAGGAAAGCAGAUAUAUAAGCAGUGGAAUGAAUAUGUUUGUAAACUUUUAAAGCACCCUUGAAAGGCAACACAAGCUGAAGCAUGUGUGUUAAAGGCACUAUGGAGGUGAACCUUUAAGAGAUGAGGCUCCGCACAAGUCCCUUCCAGUCCAAUGCAGCACCAGGGUCUCUGGCCCCGGGGAGUCUCCAGACACAGAAAAGACCUACACAGGAUCCGCGAUGGGAUCCUAAGACCUCU
rnacentral:lncRNA from 1 species